AAAAAAAGUUUGUUUUCCAGUUUUUGGAGAAAAAAAUAAUUUGUUUUUGAUUCUGAGAAAAAAAAAUUGUUUGUUUCACCCUCAGCUGCCACUAUAUGUAAUGCUAAAAUUGAAAGAAAAAAAUUGUUUUCGACUUGUCGCGAAAAAAAAAGAUUGGUUUUCGCCGCAGGCGAAAAAAAAAAUUUGUCCAGAAAAAAAAACCAUAGCCCCCCCCA
rnacentral:lncRNA from 1 species